rnacentral:misc_RNA from 1 species
GUAGGUGAACCUGCGGAAGGAUCAUUAUCUUCUGUCCAUCUUAGGCAGCUCGGGGGGGCUUUAGUCUCUAGAGUCCCUGUCUGAACCCAUGUCUUUUGUAUACCCCUUGUUUCCUUGGUAGGCUUGCCUGCCAGUUGGACCCCCUAAAAACAUAUUGUAUUUGCAAUCAGCGUCUGAAAAACAUAAUAAUUACAACUUUCAACAACGGAUCUCUUGGUUCUG